GAUGAAGAACGUAGCGAAAUGCGAUAAGUAGUGUGAAUUGCAGAAUUCCGUGAAUCAUCGAAUCUUUGAACGCACAUGGCGCCUUCUGGUAUUCCGGAAGGCAUGCCUGUUCGAGAGUCAUUAACAACCGUUUCGAUCCCUUUCUUUCAGAAAUUACAAAGAGGAAAAGGGUUUGGUUAUGGUGGAGGAGGGAAAGGGAGCGUUUAGCCUGUAAAAAAAGAGGCUGUGUUCCGCCUCCCCCCCAAAAUUGUACAGGCGGUCGUGUGCGCCCACGCAUCGAGGUGUUGUAAAAGCUGCCACGGCACUUUUCACCUGUGCAGUGCGAGAUUGGCCAGCCGGUUUAAAAACCCCUCCAAACAAUCAAAGGUUGACCUCGGAUCAGGUAGGGAUACCCGCUGAACUUAAGCAUAUCAAUAAGCGGAGGA
rnacentral:misc_RNA from 1 species